ensembl:lncRNA
GCAGGGUGUUGAAAGCUGAGGACAAGUCAGCAAAUAAGAGUCUUAGUGAAGAAAUAGAUUUAUGUAUACAAAGAAAUUAGAUCAUUGAUUUUCAGUUGUCAGAUAUAAAUAUAUUUUUAAUGUAUUAAUUAUUUAAAUUCUGGUUAUUCAUAUAUAUGCACAUAUCAAUACUGAAGACAUGAUCCUUACUAGAGCUUAAUACUUGCAAUGUCUGUUGCAAAAAGGUUCAUUGUCCACUUUGUCCACCAACACUAUUUAAACAUGCACUACUUGUCCAUCUUAAAAAUUGAAGGUUAUGUUUUAUUACUUUUUAACAGCAAUGUACAAUUAGAUAACUAACUUUACCAACUUUUCCUGUUUCACUGCUCAAAGGAUCCAAAAUAUGCAGAUGCAACCUCAAGUGCAGAACCCAGAGACGUUUCCCAUGAUAUUAGAAGACAAUGCUGUGAAGGGACAACAUGGUAGACCGUAUACGGUAGACUAUAGACCAACUCCUGAUGCUCUGCAGGCAUCAUGGAAGCGCUUACAAACUGUUGAGAAUUUGCCUGCUAAUGUUUACUUUAUUACAGUGUAAUACAAUUUAAAUUUGGUACAAUACAUUAAUGUUGAUGUCCUGUGAUUCUUGUUGGCUGGAACAGGUCAUCAGCCAGGAGAGAGACAUCCGCGCCGGAGACAGAAUACAGGAAGCAGCGAGAGAUCAGCGGUAUGUCAUGCAGCAAAGUCCUCAGUUCAGGCUGCACUCUUUCCCUCCUCUCUUCCGCUAUGUGGAGCAAAGUGAGGAAACUCGGGGUGCGCUGGCAGCAGUGGGGUCAGUGAAGGUGGACUGCUGUUUAAAUGGAGUAACCUUAAAGAUGCAGUUUUUUUAUUCUGGAUGACAUUUAUCGUCCAUUUCAAUGUUUUUGUAAAAUCUGCCGCAUGGGAACGCACGCUCCUUGUUGCUGGUGGGAACGCAAAGGCGAUGCAGCUAGACUGCUCUGCCCCGUCCAUUUGAACGCACUUAUUAUAGGGAACCUGUUGUCCCCAGCAUGCGGAUUAACCUGAGGGAGGAAGAUAAACGGCGCUUCUGACCCCAAGAAGAGCACAGCAGGAGGACCCGUCCCUGCUAGCCCUGUUGGAUUGAGCAAGAUACGCCGUUAAGUACAAAAAACCAUAUACAGAUACAGUACAAACCUUAAAGUAUCACUGACAAUUUGCUAUAUUGAAGGACUCAGGCUCCUGUAUAAAAUACAACUGGAAGACAGAAAUGUUGCAGAUUGAUGAGCUCUGGAGCCCUUUUUAAUAGUCAUAUCCAAAAUUAAACAGAGGAAACAAUUUUUUUUAACUUACUUGUGACUGUAGUUAUUCAUUCCAACUAAUUACAGAUGUUUUGGGACAGUUUUGAAAAUAUCACAUCAUAUGUAUAUUCCCCAAUUUUUUUGUUUAUAUUUUCCAAUCAAAAGAACAACUUGCAAAAAAAACUGGCUAAACAAGAACAAAAUGUAUUGAUUUGAAAUUUGAAAAAUAUUAAAAGUAAUACUAAAACGAUAUAAAAUAACUAUGUUAAAUUCCAAUAAUUCCCUGGAAUAAAUUAACUGUAUCCACAUUAUUGUGUAUCA